rnacentral:rRNA from 1 species
AAGGGCUCGUAGGCGGCCAACUAAGUCGGACGUGAAAUCCCCAGGCUCAACCUGGGAACUGCGUCCGAUACUGGAUGGCUUGAAUUCGGGAGAGGGAUACAGAAUUCCAGGUGUAGCGGUGAAAUGCGUAGAUAUCUGGAGGAAUACCGGUGGCGAAGGCGGCAUCCUGGACCGAUAGUGACACUGAGGAGCGAAAGCCAGGGGAGCAAACGGGAUUAGAUACCCCGGUAGUCCUGGCCCUAAACGAUGAAUGCUUGGUGUGACGGGUAUCGAUCCCUGUCGUGCCGAAGCUAACGCAUUAAGCAUUCCGCCUGGGGAGUACGGUCGCAAGGCUGAAACUCAAAGAAAUUGGCGGACU